CUUGUCCUUCCCCAGAGGCCCAUGCUCUGGGCCUUUCUUCACGGUGUCUCUUGAAAAUGGCUAUAAAACUUCUUGUCAAAUUGGAGUACUUUGGAAUAUUUAGGAAAAGUUGGCAGAGAGGAGACAGGACUAAAGUGCAGCUCCCACUUGGAUGAACUGAACAGUGUGUGGAGACUCACAUUGUGAAUUUUUGCUCCAAGAACUACCUCAGGAACAUACCAGAAAAACCAAAAGAAUUCACAGACCCUUUGAAAAAAGUGGCUUGCCAGUGCAAACUCCAUGAGACAGCUGAAAAACUGUGCUCUCUGUACACAGAGGGUUUUGUCUGUUUGGUCACCGAUAUAUCUUCAGUGCCCAGAACAGUGCAUGGCAAUGGCAGACUCUCAACUGAUGGUUUAAAGAGGUUGUCUUUUCCAAGGCCCAUCACCUGCUUCACAGAAUUUUCAGCUCUUUUGACAAUUUCCAAGACAAGGGAUGAGUUCCAGCCACCAUGUCAUGAGGAGACCCUGGAUACCCCAGCUCAGAGCCUAGAGUAAGGAGAUGGAGAUGCAGAGAAGGAAAAUGACUUGCCUAGGAUUGCAUGCUGGGGAGAAAGUUCCUGAAAUGAACAGCACAUAAGAAGACUACAUUUCCCAGCAUCCCUUGCAAUUGAGCUCACGUGAUUAGCUCUAGCCAAGAGGUGGCAAGCAGAAGAUACUUGAGUCUCUUCCUGGUGAAAUAGAAUGAAAGCACUGAACACAGAUGUGAAGUCUCUGUGCUUUUACUUCCGUCACUGUGGUGAAUUGGCAUCCAUAUGUUGAAAUGACAUCACAAGACAGAAACAAUUAGGGUCACUGAGUCACUGCAAGAAAGAGAGCUGCCCUGGAGAGUCAUCUAGAAUCACAGCAAUCUUCUGUAUAUUCAAGAAACAAAGCUUUGUUUGUACUGAGAUUGGAGGUUGUUAUUGCAGCAGAGUACAGCCUAUCCUAACCAAUACAGAAAAUAUAGUAGGCAAAAUAAGGGCACCCAAAAAAAUGCUCAUUUCCUAAUCUCCAGGACCUGUAAACAAGUUAUAUCAUAUGGCAAAGACAAAUCAAAGUUGCAGAUGGAAUUAAGGUUGCUAAUCAGCUAAUCUGGAGAUGGAGAGAUUGUUCUAGAUUAUCUGAGUAAACCCUAUGUAAUUACAAAGGAUCUUAAAAGCAGAAGAGAGAAUCAAAAGAAUCAGAAAGAUGGCAGUAUGAGUGGGACUUGGCCCAAUGUUGCUGGCUUUGAAGAUGAAGGAAUGAGGCCAUGAGUCAUCGAGUAUGGUAGCCUCUAUAAGCAGGAAAAGGCAAGGAAAUGGUUCUACCCUAGAAUGUUCAGAAAGGAAUGCACCCUACCAACACCAGUCUUUGCCUGGGUAAGGUAUAUGUUCCACUCCUAAGCUAUAGAACUAUAAAUAAUAAAUCUGUGUUGUUUUAAGCCACUAAGUUUGGGAUAAUUUGUUGCAGCACUAAUAGAAGACUAAUACAGAGGCAUUUGUAGACCUCAGGCUCAUUCAAGAAUUCUCAUCUGUUUCCCCAUAAUGCUCUAAAUAUAUUUUAUUAAUGUACUUCCCAUAUCAUAUCUUGAUUAUCUCUGUGUGUAUGUGUCAUUUUCUUCCCUAGAGUGAAAGUUUUCUUGAGGGCAAGAAUUAAGUCUUCUUC
rnacentral:lncRNA from 10 species